UUUCCCAUUGUCUUCAGCCUCCAGUUCAACACAAUGGAAGCUCCAUUCCGCGAGCAUUUAGACUGGCGGAGAGAUCCACUCGCAGGUCUUUUUCCACCAUGGUGCGACCUUCCAAUCUGCGCAUGCGGUGAUCGAUGUAUACUCAUGACAUCACUUACUACUGAAAUCCGCGGUAGGAGAUUUUUCCAAUGCCCAAACAUUUACCAGAAUUUUUCAGACUUACCGUAGUUUGUGCGACUUCGUUGAGUGGGUUUAUACGACGAAUCCACAACUUGACAGGGCACGCCCAUAUCCAUGCAGCGAACCAUUAUCAGACUAUCUAAGGAGGAAGGAAGAGAACGAAUGACGAAAAACUAUCGAAUCCUUACAAUGGCAAGUAAAUCCACCGGACUGUCAACUUGGCGGGAGUGUCCAGAGUGUAGGUGUGGAGACCGUUGCCAGGUGAUAAGGUCCGUUCGACAACGAACUCUAGGACAGAGAUGCUUCGUCUAUCCUAACAUUGUCGACAAUGAUUUCAUCGAAGAAGACCGCAAAUGUAGCUAUGUAAAGUGGAUUGAUACGGUGCGAAGAACUUCCAUCGGUUCGACGAUAACUCAACCUGAGACGACCACACAAUUCAUUCAAGCAUGGAUGGAGUACGUGCGCUUGGUUCAGUCCGCUAGCUUACACUGGAGAUCAAAUCCAUUAGGUAUACCUGAAUGGUCUGAUCGUCCCAAAUGCGGUUGUAGAGAUCGCUGCCAUGUUGUAACGUCCUUCUCACAAGAUAUAUAUGGCAUGCGGUACUUCGUCUGUCCCAACAUAGACGACAACUUCGUUGGGAAUCCAAGGAUAUGUGCUUUUACUUCAUGGAUCAACAUGGUCAGCCCGAUGUAGGAAGGCGGAAGAGUAUCUGAAGCUGAAACGCAAACAUAGUAUAAGAGAUUGAAUGAUCACGAAGUUGCAUUACGUAAACAACGACGUAGAAUGGGACAAUAGAGAAGCUUAACCUCAAAUCGCUCUAGUUCAGGACUUUUGUUGUAAGUGUCAAGAAUGGAUUAUGUUCGUCUAUUUGUUAGCUAAUGUUUCAUUCUCUUUUUCAUCUAUUAAGCUCAUUUGCGCUUCCGUAGCUGCAAUAUCUUCGAUCCCCUCCUUUCUUUAUCCAUCCUUACUAAAUAAAUUGCGACAAAGCCAUGAAACCAAAAAUAUAUACAAAUAAUGAAACUAAAUAAUCCAAAUAUUUUAAGCCACAAAUAAAUACUACAAUUUCCCAUAAAAUUU